AAUGGAUUAGCGGCGGACGGGUGAGUAACACGUGAGUAACCUGCCUUAGACAUUGGGAUAGCCUCGGGAAACCGGGAUUAAUACCAAAUGAAAUCACAUAUGCACAUGCAUAAAUGAUCAAAGCUCCGGCGGUCUAAGAUGGACUCGCGUCCCAUUAGCUAGUUGGUGAGGUAACGGCCCACCAAGGCGACGAUGGGUAGCCGGCCUGAGAGGGUGAACGGCCACAUUGGAACUGAGAAACGGUCCAAACUCCUACGGGAGGCAGCAGUGGGGAAUAUUGCACAAUGGAGGGAACUCUGAUGCAGCGACGCCGCGUGAACGAAGAAGGCUUUCGAGUCGUAAAGUUCUUUUAUAUGGGAAGAUAAUGACGGUACCAUAAGAAAAAGCCCCGGCUAACUACGUGCCAGCAGCCGCGGUAAUACGUAGGGGGCUAGCGUUGUCCG
rnacentral:rRNA from 1 species